GUUGUUACUAGUUAACCCAGCCACAAAGUCAAAAUUAUGUAUCAUAAAGUUUCGUUAAAAAGAUUGCUCCUUGGUCUUCAUUUAAGGUUAGGCAUAAGGUUAGUAGUGUGGUUAAGGUUAGGUUUAAAAUCAGAUUUUAAGAAGAGAAACUGUAGAAAUACCCGGGGGUUAGCCAUAAUCAUGACUUUGUGGCUGUGGUAACUAGUGACGACCCCGGGUGAGAAGUGGGAGAUUCAAAGGAGCAAAAGAAGCAGUAAUUUUAUAUUUCAUUAAACAAUGCCAUCUACGACCAGUUAAAACGACAAGGAAGACCAAGACAUCGGUGUAAGCAUGGCGACCCCCAAUAUGACCCCCACCCCGGGUGCUGACCCUAAGCAGCUGGAGAGAACAGGGACGGUCCGGGAGAUCGGCACUCAGGCCGUGUGGUCUCGGUGCUCCUGUAAACCAGAUAUUGUGUGAAGGUGGAUAUCUGGGCUGCAGGAGUCAUCACCUACGUCCUACUGUGUGGGUUCCCUCCGUUCCGCAGUCUCACUCCUCUCCUACAGUGAGAAUAACGACCAGGAGGAGUUGUUGGACCAGAUACUCAGGGGGAAGCUGGAGUUCCCUUCCCCCAGACUGGGACACAGUCAGCCUGCCGGCCAAGAUGCUGAUUGGUCAGAUGCUGCAAGUGAACGUGGAUAUACUGCAGAGGAGGGCGAGGCGAACCAAGAGAACAGCAAUGUGAACACAGAGACAUCAUCGUCAGCUACAGUGACCCCUGACCUUCCAGUGACCCCUACAACCCAGGCAGCGACCUUUGACACUAUGACCCCGGGAGCACAGAGUAGCCCCGCCCCGCCCAACACAACAAAUACCAACACUAAACCUGUUACCUCUCCACUCUGCUGAGGACACAUCCCAUUUCAGACCCUAGGUUCUUCCACUACCUAGCUGAGGAGGUGUACACACCCGUCGAGGAGAGCUCCAUUGGCAAGUUCCCACGAUGCACCACAGUGGACAUCAUGAUGUACCGCACCAUCAGAUGAUACGGAGGGUUCCGGGGUUCCGAGUAUAAACCUCUCAGGGUUCCGAGUUAGAACCUUCCAGGGUUCCGGGUAGAAUCCUUUAGUUGACAUAUAAGGGAAUUGGAAUGCCUAGUUUUUAUAUUGAAAUAUUAUUAUUGUGAGUUAAGCUGCAAAGGUCCUUGGGUGCAGGGUAUUCCAGUCUCUGGAUGCGUCUCAAUUGAUUGAAUUGUUCACUAUGGGCCCUGGUCUAAAGUAGUGCACUGUAUAGGGAAUAGGGUGCCAUUUGGGAAGCAGUGUCUGUGUUAUUGAUGCUUUCGGUUGGUGUCUGAUAUAUAAAGAUGAUGAGACCUUUUAAAGGCAGCGGUCGAGGCCCCCAAACCCAAGGCUAAUACCCAUGUGACUAUGUCUACUGUCAAAUGUCCCUCUCUGUUGAGCCCCAUAGGUCUGCUUUUACUAGCUGACUGUCUAAUCCUAGUAAGUGUUAGACCACAGUUUAACCAGCAGGAGGCACUGUCUCCCCUCUGAAGGGAGGAUGGGGCCAGUCAAGAAAGCAAGGCUGGGUAAUGAAAUGAGAAUUAUGUUUCCACUGAUAAUUCAGGAAUACUAUAUUCUUCUCUGAUUUUGAGAGAAGAUGGG